rnacentral:lncRNA from 1 species
UUGAAUUUAUUGAAUUCUUUGUUCAGCACCUCAGAUGAUAGGAUUUUUCUCCUUUGACCUAUUGAUAUAAUGGGUUAAUUAAAAUAUUUCUUAAUAUUACACCAUGCUCUCAUGACUAGAAAACUACCAGGAUAUGAUGGAUUUUUAUAUACUGUGGAGGGUUAAUUAAAAUAUUUCCUAAUAUUACAUCAUGCUCUCAUGACUAGGAAACUACCAGGAUAUGAUAGAUUUUUAUAUACAGUUUAAUUUUAUGGACCCAAAUUUUAUUAAUAAAAAAUUAAAUAUAAGUUAAUAAGUGAGAGAGAUCCACAUCUUUCUUUGUGUGUAGUGAACUAUCUUUGCCAGGUUUUGGAAUCAGAGUUUAGACUUCCUUCAUUAAACAAAUUUGGAAGAUCUCUGUCUUUGCUUCUAGCUUCUAAACUUUUUUAUUGGCUUAGGGAUUUGUGAUUCUUGAAAAGAACUGAAAGAUCGUAUUCAACUCUCCUUGUACUUUUAUCAGUAAUUUUGGUUCCCAAUCCUAGUGGAAGAGUAACACCAUUUUUUCUGAUAAAGGCAUGGCUAUUCAAAAAUGUGUAGAGGGAGAGAGGUAUACAUAACAGCAGAUGGAUUUGUGAGACUGUGCCAGUCAACCACUUACUUAGUGCAUGACUUUCAGCAAGUUACCUAAUCUUUUAAGCUUUAGUGUCUUCAUCAGGGAAAUGGGAAUAUAGUCCCUUCCCUUGCAUUGUUUCCUCUAAAUUUUGUGAAGUACAAUUUAAAAAUUAUUACUUAAGCCAAUUAAUGUUCAAACAGUAGCAUUUGGAUCAAGAGUAAAAUGUGCACGUUAAUUUAUAAACAGUCACAACUAACAUUAACAAGUAAGUGGUAAUAACUGUUUUAGGAAUUGUAUGUAUUUUUGAGCAUUUAUUUAAUCUUGAAAUUAAACUUGGUAUUUCUACGUAUUUUUCUAUGUAGAAUUUAUAUAGAUUAUUUCUACAUAAAAUGCAUCACUUAUUCUUUAAUUUUCUCAAAAUAAUAUACAUACAUGAUCUUAAAAGUUCUUAAAGAAUAACACUAGCCUUUAAUGAAACCAGAAAUCAUUUGAAUCUAAAUCCAUACUCGCCCCCACUCCUGCUCUGGCUCCCUGAGAAAACUUCUUUCAACUAUUUUUUCUGCUUCUCAGGCAUUUACCAUGAUAUUUCUAAAUCAUAGGCUUAUAGUGAUUGUAGUAUAUUGCAAAAAUGGUCACAAGCGAGACUUCUGGUUUCAGCUCUUUCAUGUAAAGAAGCUGGAAAUUGUCACCCCACCCCCUUCUUCCAACAAGAAAAAGAUGAACAAACUGAAUCAAUGGCUUUAAAAAAAUACUUAUCAGAGAAAUGAGGCUGCAGGGUAAGCCACUACUCUGAAAGACAGAUCCAGGGCGUCACUUAAAUGGCAAAUUUGCUGAAUUGCUUCCGGCUGAAUGCGGACUAGCAUGAGAGUAAGGGGGCCUCUACAUGUUCAUGGUCUUUACCUUUAGGAAAAUGUUGCCUUGUCCAGGAAGUGAGGGGUGACGCCGUACACCCGGUGUCAGACAGCUGUGUGGCAACUCUUCACCCCACACCUGCUGCAGAAACUACGCAGCGCCGGUGUGUGUUGGGUCGGUGAUAAUGCUUUGAUGCUCUCUGCGCCCUGGAGGAGCGUGAAGCCGGAGGUUGCUAAGUGGAAGUGCAGGUGCUGCUGCUUCUUGCACAAACUGCAGUUGUAAUCCAGGAUUCACGGGCCUGUAGGGGCUCAGACUUCAAAUUGAACCGCGCCUCGGCGGCAGCCACAGGUGUAAUACACGAGGCCCAGGUACCAGAAGGUGUCCAGCAGGGCCUUGGCGGCGCCCUAGCAGCUGAGGUCCAGCCGCUGCGCGCCCAGGUUCAUCUCAUUAGUGGACGCCGCGGGCCCGCGAGUUCGGAGCAGCGCGUGUAUCUGUGGGUCUUUGGGGCUGGCCUCGCUAGCCUACCAGCUUCCUUUCGGUGAUGCUCUUUGCUACCGCCAGGCUCCUGACCCCAGCUUGGACAGCAGGCCGCCGAGCGCCCCUGACGCCCGUUACCGAGAUGGCUGCGCAGAAGGAGUGGCUGUGGGGCUGUGAUCUCUCCUAGAACCUCAGAGGCAUGAAGCUAGAAUAUCUUCCCCUUCAAGGAGAAUAAGCCAAGAACACAAGAAGAUCAGAGGCUGUAAGGAGCUGCUAUAAGGCCUUCUCCCAGUCACUUCCCUCUCUCUCCUGAGAGGCUGUCUUGAAUGAAUUUCUCAUCACUUACCAGAUUCUGAUGAGGGUAUAUGAGACAAGGACCUGGGGAGUUGGCCUCUUUGGUUCAUUCUUUGUACUGUUUAUCUAUGGUUGUUGCGGCCUUUGUUGAUGACAUUCAGCAUUGACUUCUUGGGUAAGGUAUUCAGUAGUUAAGAUUCAAUGACUCCAGUGAAAGGUAUGUUUCCAUCGUGAUGUUCUUCUUCUGGACAAUAAGUGAAAAGAGCAUGUGAGUACCUCUCUCACUCCCAGCAAAUAAUUGUUGUGUCACCUCCACAUGUUUCUUCACGAUUCGAGGCUUUGAUUUCCCCUGCAAGACAAAAUGCAAUGAAGUGAUACAGAAAAAAAGAAAUUCUAUGCUGUCAUCACACUAGACCAUGAUGUUGAUUUAUGGAUGGUCUGCUUUCUUAUAUGCACUUAAUAUUUUUGUACAAGCAAACCUGAAAAGUGUCAAAAUCCCCUUUAACAGAUUAACAGGCUGAGAUGGGUUAAAGUGAGCAAGCCGGGAAGUGGUGGAGCUGGGAUCCACACCCUGGUCUGUCUGAGUCCAGAUGUAAUCAUCUUGCAUUCACUAUGGCAUGUUUCCCUUAUGUUAAGGGUUGCUGACAUAGACAGUGCAUGUCAUUCCUUUUGGUAUGGUCUUCCUCCUUUCUAGCUUUUUUCUGCCUGGAAGAUCCAGGCACCCAAGAGAAUGGAGCUUCCAUGUAAAUUUGCAGAAUCCCUAGGAUGAAAGCGGAGAGGAUCUACCCUGAAACCAACAAGUCUAGGAUGCACAUCUCUGCCUUUUUUUCAGAAUUAGGAAGGGGCAGGCAGAUGGGCAAUUGACAGGAAUAGUAGAAGCAUCCUCGGGGAAGUUGGCUACUUUACUUAGUGAGAAAGCAAUGGAAAGUGACAUUUGUAACUGAGUUUUAAGUGAAGUACAGUCCUAAGAGAGGAGCUCUGAAAAACAGCUGUUACCUGAGAUUGGGAAUGUUAAAGACCUUCUCAGAGCCUGACUGUACUCACAGCUGGACCUAGCUAUCAGAAGAGGGACUGCAACAUACCUGAGAAACUUUCAGAAUACUUAACGGAAGCAGAGUCAGGGGAAGUGAUUUUGAUAGUAGUCCAUGAGAAAAAAAUACGGUGUUUUAAAAUGCAAAUGAACUAAAAUUUAAAUCCUGCUCUCUCAGUAGCUAUGCAGCCUUAGGCGAGUUAAUAUCUUUGACCUUAGUAUUUCUCAGGUGUAAAGAGGGAUAAUUACCUACUCAGAACUUCACCUCUCCCAAGAAAGCUUUCCUGACCAUGUGCUGGCCCUUCCUUUACAUUGGGAUUAAAGUACCCCCCCCCGUUUUUCCAGGCUUUCUUGACUUUAAUUCUGUCAUAGCUCUAAUUAAGAACCUCUGUAAUGAUCUGUCUGCAAGCUUGUGAGAAAUUUGAGGACUGGGAACCAGCCUGAAACAUGUCUGUUCCCCUCUGAGUCAACACAGUGCCUGGGAUCUGGUGUCCAGUAGGGAUUUAAAGCAUAUUGAUUGAAUGAGAAAUGAUGACAGGAUCUACAUGGAUCACAAAGGAUAGUUGUUAUUUUACCUGUUAACUAUUUAAUAGCGAAAUUAAAUGAAAUAUGAAUUAACCUAGGACCAGGGAAGGUGGGGUAAGUUGUGUCUUUCACAUCAACCUUCAUAUGUUCCCCAAUUUUUUCUUCCUUCAUGUACCUAGGACACUCUUGUUCAAACACAAAGGUGGUUUUAUUUUGGGUCUAUACUAGCUAGUUCCCUAGAAAGGUCUUAAAUACAAAAUGAAUGGAAUACAAAAUAACCUCCCUCAUUGUUUUUUUUCCCGGACAAAUGACAGGAUGCAUACAGAACUGCUACUUUUGUGAUGUUGCAAGUAAUGGUAUAGAUGUGCACAAAUCAUGGAUGUGGUCCCAGUGAUCCAUGGAAAUGUGAAGUCCAGGAAGGUAUGUGGCCCUUCCUGAGGUGUGUUCUAAGUUGGUCUCCUAGGGUCCUGAAGGGGACUCCUGGAUGGUCUGUGGAAGGUGUUCUACCUAGAG